rnacentral:misc_RNA from 1 species
AGGUGAAAAUUAAGAAGGUUAGGGAGUAGAAAGACAAAACAAACAAAAUCGAUCACUAUCCUGACAAAGGUAUGUGUAUUUGCUGUCAAUGGAGGCAAUGUCCUGCUUCUGUGGUAAACUAUACUAAAACACUAUAUUUGUCUUCCUCUGUUACGUUUGUCCUGAAUUUGAUGAAGCCUUCAACUUCUCUACUUGUUUGCGGAGAUAUGCCUGUUUCAAUUUCUCACGACGUGCUGCUGCCUGCUCUUGUCUUCGCAAUUUCAGCUCGGAUGCCUUCUCUCUUGCUUGAUUUACUUCUUCAUGAACUUCCCUCACAAAGCGCUUGUGCUCAUUGUUGUUCAUUG